rnacentral:rRNA from 1 species
UACGUAGGGUGCGAGCGUUGUCCGGAAUUACUGGGCGUAAAGAGCUCGUAGGUGGUUUGUCGCGUUGUUCGUGAAAACUCACAACUCAAUUGUGGGCGUGCGGGCGAUACGGGCAGACUGGAGUACUGCAGGGGAGACUGGAAUUCCUGGUGUAGCGGUGGAAUGCGCAGAUAUCAGGAGGAACACCGGUGGCGAAGGCGGGUCUCUGGGCAGUAACUGACGCUGGAGGAGCGAAAGCGUGGGAGCGAACAGGA